CACGUAGGGGGCGAGCGUUGUCCGGAUUUAUUGGGCGUAAAGCGCGCGUAGGCGGCCGCGCAAGUCGGAUGUGAAAACCCGGGGCUCAACCCCGGACUUGCAGUGGGUACGGGCAGACUAGAGUGUGGUAGGGGAGACUGGAAUUCCUGGUGUAGCGGUGAAAUGCGCAGAUAUCAGGAGGAACACCGAUGGCGAAGGCAGGUCUCUGGGCCAUUACUGACACUGAGAAGCGAAAGCAUGGGGAGCGAACAGG
rnacentral:rRNA from 1 species